rnacentral:rRNA from 1 species
UACAGAGGGUGCAAGCGUUGUUCGGAAUUACUGGGCGUAAAGCGCGUGUAGGCGGCUUUUUAAGUCCUGUGUGAAAGCCCCGGGCUCAACCCGGGAAGUGCGCAGGAUACUGGAGAGCUGGAGUGGUGGAGAGGAUGGCGGAAUACCCGGUGUAGAGGUGAAAUUCGUAGAUAUCGGGUGGAACACCUGUGGCGAAGGCGGCCAUCUGGACACUAACUGACGCGGAGAAGCGAAAGCGUGGGUAGCAAACAGG